rnacentral:lncRNA from 1 species
GACUUCCGGGGUGGCGCCUCCGGAAAAUGGCGGAAUUCCCUUCGAAUUGAAGGGAACCCGCUCCACGGAAAUCGGGUCCUACCGCUACGGCGCAGCGGGGACCCUUUAAAAACCACAGGCGGAGGAAGCCUGUGGCCGUGGGACUCGGCGGGCACCGUUUGCGCCCUUCUAUCUUACAAAGGAGCCCGGUAACGGGCUCCAGAGUGGGGAAGUGGUGUGGUGCUGUGAGUCGUCUGCUACUUUCGUGGAGCGAAGCCGCACUGCCGUUGCCGGAGAGCGCUGCCUUUUUCCUGGGACAAUUUGGCAUUUAAAACAAUCACCUGUGAGUAUUUGAAUAUUGAAGAGCUGGAUUUUUAUAAAGACUGGUGAUCAGUAACAAAUUGGACUUGAAAUUUGAUCUAAUCUGGAUUUGGAACGGGAAGGUCUAAACAGGAAGUCAGCCUUCCGUUCUCUUGUUAUUAGAAGAAAGCAAAGAUAAAGUGCACUAGAGCCUAAAAAAUAAAUUUUUGGAGGACUAGAUUUCACCAUUUAAGAUUCUUGAACCCCCCUUUGAUUGCAGGAGAAGAAGGGGUUUUUUUUCCGGACUGUUUAAUCCUGCGGAAGUGAGUUUAAAAACAAAGUAAUUUUCCACCGCCCUGAACCUGGAGCGGGGUGUCAGAACUGACGUUUUGAAGUUCGCUGACCAGUUUGACAGAUAGUUAAAAGAAGAGUAACAUUGUGACUUUAUUGUUGCCUUUUGCAUUCUAAAGGGAAAAUUUUGGACAAAAUAUCUUUGGGAAAGAGAAAUUGUGUUGCUAUUGCUCUUAAAAGAAGAAACAGAAGCUUUCCCCCUAGUGGGAUUUGGUGAAACUGUAACUUAGAGAGCUUGCAACUGAAAAAUCACCGUGAGAAAGGAUUUGUGACCUUGAAGGACAAUGCUUUUACAAAUACUGUUGGAGGGUUUCUCAAAACUAAGUGCCCAGCUGGAUCGGCUGUGUGAGAAGACGGAUUUGAUGACGGAGGCUACCAGAGCAUUGGAACAAGCGACUGGAAAUUAUUUGAAGUCCAAUCAGGACUUUGAACAGGAGGGUGUUCUGGCAGGGCAGAUGAAGGAAGAGGAUGCUGUAGAGUUGGGGGCCCCAGAGAUGGAGGGACUUUUGGUCCGGCAGAAAAACCAGCCUCUGGACUUGAUGGAUGAACUUGGGAGAAACCAGACUGGGAAAGAUGGAGUUUGGCUAGCUUUGGAAAUGGGGGGCUGGAUUGACCCCCCUAUGUAUGGAUAUUUGGACUUUCCGAGUCUGGUGAUGGGUCGUCGGAGGUUUGGAGUAGUUGGGGCCUCCAAUUUUGGAGGGAAUGUGAAGAGGUACUAUCUGCUGUCUGGCUUGGACGAUGGGUAUGGGGCUGAUUUGUUGAAAAGGGUCAAGAGUAUCUUUUUGCUGGAGUAUCCACGAGUGAAAGGAAAAUAUCAAGAAGAGCUGCGAAAGGGGCAUGAAAGAGAUUUGAGGGCCUUGGACACGAGACUACCAGGUUAAUGAGCUUGACUAAUGAAAUAAAAAGGACUGACAAUCCCGGGACCAGGAGGAGGGGACGCUGGAAGAUGACUGGAUUGUGUUUGACUUAUUCUUUUUUCUUUUUUCUAAUAUUUGGAAUGUUUAUGAAUGUUGAAAAAAUGUUGAAAUGAAACUAUAUGGCUUUUGU